GAUGAACGCUGGCGGCGUGCCUAAUACAUGCAAGUCGAGCGAACGGACGAGAAGCUUGCUUCUCUGAUGUUAGCGGCGGACGGGUGAGUAACACGUGGAUAACCUACCUAUAAGACUGGGAUAAUUUCGUGAAACCGGAGCUAAUACCGGAUAAUAUUUUGAACCGCAUGGUUCAAAAGUGAAAGACGGUCUUGCUGUCACUUAUAGAUGGAUCCGCGCUGCAUUAGCUAGUUGGUAAGGUAACGGCUUACCAAGGCAACGAUGCAUAGCCGACCUGAGAGGGUGAUCAGCCACACUGGAACUGAGACACGGUCCAGACUCCUACGGGAGGCAGCAGUAGGGAAUCUUCCGCAAUGGGCGAAAGCCUGACGGAGCAACACCGCGUGAGUGAUGAAGGUCUUCGGAUCGUAAAACUCUGUUAUUAGGGAAGAACAUAUGUGUAAGUAACUGUGCACAUCUUGACGGUACCUAAUCAGAAAGCCACGGCUAACUACGUG
rnacentral:rRNA from 1 species